GAGAGGGCCUACCAAGGUCGAGUUCGAACGGGGACCUUCGGGUCUAGUGGCGCACGGGUGCGUAACACGUGGGAAUCUGCCCUUAGGUUCGGAAUAACUCAGGGAAACUUGAGCUAAUACCGGAUGAUGUCUUCGGACCAAAGAUUUAUCGCCUAAGGAUGAGCCCGCGCAGGAUUAGCUAGUUGGUGAGGUAAAGGCUCACCAAGCCGACGAUCGGUAGCUGGUCUGAGAGGAUGAUCAGCCACACUGGGACUGAGACACGGCCCAGACUCCUACGGGAGGCAGCAGUGGGGAAUAUUGGACAAUGGGGGCAACCCUGAUCCAGCAAUGCCGCGUGAGUGAUGAAGGCCUUAGGGUUAGGGGAGCGCUUUCGCACGCGACGAUGAUGACGGUAGCGUGAGAAGAAGCCCCGGCUAACUUCGUGCCAGCAGCCGCGGUAA
rnacentral:rRNA from 1 species